rnacentral:rRNA from 1 species
UCAUUAAGCGGAGGAAAAGAAACUAACCAGGAUUCCCUCAGUAAGGGCGACUGAAGCGGGAAGAGCUCGUGCUGUGAAUCUGUGCUUCUGGCGCCGAAUUGUGGUCUGUAGACGCUUGCGUUAUUGGCCCGGCCAAGUCCCUUGGAACAGGGCAGCCGAGAGGGUGAGACUCCCGUCCGCCGGGCCAAAGGAGCAGGUAGUCGACGAGUCGAGUUGUUUGGGAUUGCAGCUCGAAGCGGGUGGUAAAUUCCAUCUAAAGCUAAAUAUUGGUGGGAGACCGAUAGCGUACAAGUACCGUGAGGGAAAGAUGCAAAGAACUUUGAAAAGAGAGUUAAAGAGUACCUGAAAUUGCUGAAAAGGAAGCGAAGGAAACCAGUGCCUGCCUGGUCAUAUUUCCCCAUUUGCUUGCGGGUGGGGCGCUGUGGCCGGCUUGUGUCGGGCUUGGUUGGUUCGGCCGGAAGGGCUUGCAGGGAGUCGACCUGCAGUGCCGGCGGCUGGACGGACCGAGCUAGACUAAAUGGUUUUCUUUUCCCCG